rnacentral:misc_RNA from 1 species
GAUGAAGAACGUAGCGAAAUGCGAUAAGUAAUGUGAAUUGCAGAAUUCAGUGAAUCAUCGAAUCUUUGAACGCAUCUUGCGCUCCUUGGUAUUCUGAGGAGCAUGCCUGUUUGAGUGUCAUUAAAUUCUCAACUACACUGACUUUGUAUUGGUGUGGCUUGGAUUUGGGGGGAAAAUUGUUGUGGGCUUUUUGUAUAGUCUGCUCCCCUGAAAUUGAUUAGCGGUACCUUUGUGGAACUGUCUACAGGUGUGAUAAUUAUCUACAUCUUAGACAUCUGCUGGAAUGCUGCUCUCUAAACCUUACUUGUAUUGACAAUCUUGACCUCAAAUCAGGUAGGACUACCCGCUGAACUUAAGCAUAUCAAUAAGCGGAGGA